GUCCAAGCAGUUAGGCUGGGAAAUAGGCAAAUCCGUUUCCCAUAAGGCUGAGCUGUGAUGGCGAGCGAAAUAUAGUAGCGAAGUUCCUGAUUCCACACUGCCAAGAAAAGCCUCUAGCGAGGUGAGAGGUGCCCGUACCGCAAACCGACACAGGUAGGCGAGGAGAGAAUCCUAAGGUGAUCGAGAGAACUCUCGUUAAGGAACUCGGCAAAAUGACCCCGUAACUUCGGGAGAAGGGGUGCUCUGUUAGGGUGCAAGCCCGAGAGAGCCGCAGUGAAUAGGCCCAGGCGACUGUUUAGCAAAAACACAGGUCUCUGCGAAGCCGUAAGGCGAAGUAUAGGGGCUGACGCCUGCCCGGUGCUGGAAGGUUAAGAGGAGCGCUUAGCGUAAGCGAAGGUGCGAAUUGAAGCCCCAGUAAACGGCGGCCGUAACGAUAACGGUCCUAAGGUAGCGAAAUUCCUUGUCGGGUAAGUUCCGACCCGCACGAAAGGCGCAACGAUCUGGGCACUGUCUCAACGAGAGACUCGGUGAAAUUAUAGUACCUGUGAAGAUGCAGGUUACCCGCGACAGGACGGAAAGACCCCGUGGAGCUUUACUGCAGCCUGAUAUUGAAUGUUGGUACAGCUUGUACAGGAUAGGUAGGAGCCUUGGAAACCGGAGCGCCAGCUUCGGUGGAGGCAUCGGUGGGAUACUACCCUGGCUGUAUUGACCUUCUAACCCGCCGCCCUUAUCGGGCGGGGAGACAGUGUCAGGUGGGCAGUUUGACUGGGGCGGUCGCCUCCUAAAAGGUAACGGAGGCGCCCAAAGGUUCCCUCAGAAUGGUUGGAAAUCAUUCGCAGAGUGUAAAGGCACAAGGGAGCUUGACUGCGAGACCUACAAGUCGAGCAGGGACGAAAGUCGGGCUUAGUGAUCCGGUGGUUCCGCAUGGAAGGGCCAUCGCUCAACGGAUAAAAGCUACCCCGGGGAUAACAGGCUUAUCUCCCCCAAGAGUCCACAUCGACGGGGAGGUUUGGCACCUCGAUGUCGGCUCAUCGCAUCCUGGGGCUGUAGUCGGUCCCAAGGGUUGGGCUGUUCGCCCAUUAAAGCGGUACGCGAGCUGGGUUCAGAACGUCGUGAGACAGUUCGGUCCCUAUCCGUCGCGGGCGCAGGAAAUUUGAGAGGAGCUGUCCUUAGUACGAGAGGACCGGGAUGGACGCACCGCUGGUGUACCAGUUGUUCUGCCAAGGGCAUCGCUGGGUAGCUAUGUGCGGACGGGAUAAGUGCUGAAAGCAUCUAAGCAUGAAGCCCCCCUCAAGAUGAGAUUUCCCAUUCCGCAAGGAAGUAAGAUCCCUGAAAGAUGAUCAGGUUGAUAGGUCUGAGGUGGAAGUGUGGCGACACAUGGAGCUGACAGAUACUAAUCGAUCGAGGACUUAACC
rnacentral:rRNA from 1 species